rnacentral:rRNA from 1 species
GACGAACGCUGGCGGCGUGCUUAACACAUGCAAGUCGAACGGAAAGGCCUGCUUUCCCUUGUGGUUUGCGGGUACUCGAGUGGCGAACGGGUGAGUAACACGUGAGUGAUCUGCCCUCAACUUGGGUAUAAGCCUGGGAAACUGUGCCUAAUUCCCGAUAGGACUGCAGGGUGGUGUAGGUGGUGGCAAACGAUCUUCUAGUGGUUGGGGAUGAGCUCGCGGCGUAUCAGCUUGUUGGUGGGGUAAUGGCCUACGAAGGCGGCGACGGGUAGCCGGCCGGGGAGGGGGGACGGCCACACUGAGACAGGGUCACGACCCCGACUGCUACGAGCAGCAGGAGUGGUGAAGAAAGGAGAGAGAGCGGGAGCGUGAAGCAGCGACGCAGCGUGGGGGGUGACGGGAUUCGAGUUGUAAGCUCCUAGCGACCGCGAGGAGGCCACCUGGUUGGGAGGGUGUUGACGGUAGUGGUAGAAGAAGCACCGGCUAACUACGUG